rnacentral:rRNA from 1 species
AUUGAACGCUGGCGGCAUGCUUUACACAUGCAAGUCGAACGGCAGCGCGGGCUUCGGCCUGGCGGCGAGUGGCGAACGGGUGAGUAAUACAUCGGAACGUGCCCAGUAGUAGGGGAUAGCUCGGCGAAAGCCGGAUUAAUACCGCAUACGACCUGAGGGUGAAAGCGGGGGAUCUUCGGACCUCGCGCUAUUGGAGCGGCCGAUGGCAGAUUAGCUAGUUGGUGGGGUAAAGGCCUACCAAGGCGACGAUCUGUAGCUGGUCUGAGAGGACGACCAGCCACACUGGGACUGAGACACGGCCCAGACUCCUACGGGAGGCAGCAGUGGGGAAUUUUGGACAAUGGGCGAAAGCCUGAUCCAGCAAUGCCGCGUGUGUGAUGAAGGCCUUCGGGUUGUAAAGCACUUUUGGCGGGAACGAAAAGGACUGUGCCAAUACCACGGUUCGAUGACGGUACCCGCAGAAUAAGCACCGGCUAACUACGUG